CACAUCUCGAUGACGUCAGUAACUUACUUUGAAGCGAUUUCGCGUUCUGAUAACGGAGGCACGUAUCUUUGAUGCGAACUGAGCGGACAACAGUCCAGGGUACUGUGUGUACUAAGGCUUGGGCGAGCGGGAGAAAUCUUAAGUCGGCAUGGACGAUUUUGACGACGCCAUACUGUCGGUGUUCGAGAAGUGAAUUAUUGAACAGCGUGAAAACCCUGAAAGAGUGUAUCUGCUGCAGUGAGGAGAAUAAAACGCUUACCUGAACCAGGAAAUCUGCUUCUCGCCGCCUCCUUUCACUGAGAAGUGUUACAAUAUUUAAAUCAAAUAUUGUUCUAAACAUGCAAAAAAUUAUUUUAGCUCCUCAUUCAGCUCAUAAUUAAAUAACACACACUGCAUUAUUAUAAGCAAGGAGUGCUCCAAGAAGCACAAUGGCAUGCAGAUGAGAGGGACUUCAUAAUAAAAUCCAUACUCCUCUCUCUCGCGUAUACUUGCGUGACAGGGCUUACUUCUCCAUACCAGGUGUGCCAUAGGUUGAUGACCCAUAAAACUCAAAAGGAUUUUUCAAAUGACAGACAUAGCUGAAAACAAAGAUGUGCACAAAAUGUAACACCCAUUUGACUCAUCAGUUACAUUUUUUUCAUAUUUUCUAUUGUUAUAUUGGAUCAAAAUGGAUACCUUUUGCUGUCCAUCUGCCUCAAAGACAUAGCAUGCACAUUGUAUGCAUUAUCGUAGUGAUGGAAAUAUUUUUAAAAUGAAGUGCAUCUCAAACAUCUCAAUCAUGAAGAUUGUUUGUUGAGAUGGCUGCAGGUUAUGUUGUUUACAGAACUGUUUUUCUCAUAAAAGAUCGCAGAGGUAACCACUUUACCAGAUCGGACUGAAUCGGUUGGAACAGUUUGGGUCUCGGUUCCACACUGAUGCACAAGCUAUUCAAUCAUAACCCGUCUCUCGGGCUUGCCUGACAGUCCGACAGGAAAUUAGCCAAUAACUGCGAGUAAUAUGAUCCUAGGACUAGUGAUGUAUGCUUUUCCUAACUCUUCUUUGCAAUCAACCACUCCAACUAAUCGGGAUGAACGGUCCGGACACAACAGUUCUCAAGUCAACAGUUCACUGAACUGAGAACCGCCUCUUCCGGACAUCUAUGGAAUGCUGAGAACUGAUGAGGAAGCUGCUGAUACCAUGAUCAUGUGUGUACACAGAUUUCAAUGAGGGUGCGAUACUUAUGUUUCUCAUGUAUUUGACUGAAUAACAGAAAGUAUAACAAAUAAAAUGUAGCCUAUGUAGUCUCCGUUUAUUGUGCACUUCUCAAAAAUCCGCUUUUGUCAAGCGUAACAUUAGUUGUGAUACUAUAUCAUACACAUUUUCCACUUUUUAAAUGUUAAUGUUUAAAACCUUUCAUGAACUAUAUGAGAACAUGCCUUCAAUCUCACUUCACAAGCUAGGGAUUGGCGACACCCCUUAUUUUCUUUUUGGUCUGAUACCAAUAUUGCCUAUACUAAUAGCGAUACUUCUGUUACCGUAUUUUCCUGAAUACAAGUAAAUUUAAAAAGGUCUUGCAACGCAUAGUCCGAAGCGACUUACAUAAAUAAUUUCUAUGUAACUGAUGUCGACCAAUCAAACAGUCAAGUAAUUUAUUUAUAAAGCACAUUUAAAAACAACAGUUGUUGAAUCAAAUUGCUUUACAAUAAAAAACAUAAUAAAUACAAUGAAUACAACAAUAAUACAAUAAAUAGAACAGUACAGCAAAGCCAUAGAGGAAAAAAAAAAUACAGGUUUGAACUUUAAUUCAAAAGCUAAAGAAAAUAAAUCUUCAAUUUAUUUUUAAAAAUUGUAAUAGAGGGGGAAAGCUAUUCCAAAGCUUAAGUGGCAACAGAAAAAGCCCUGUCUCCCUUAGUCAAUUGUAUCAGAUGCUGCACUAAGAUCUAGUACUACUAAAAUACACUGGAUCCAGAGUCGAGGGAAAGAAAAAAAAACAUGGUUAAACUUAUGGAUAGUACUGUCAUGAUUACUACAAUAUUACUAUAGUAAAACCAUAGUUUCUGCCAUAAAACCAUGGUUAAUAUAACGAACGUGAAGCAGACAGAGGAGUAGAAUCCAUGUGUGAGUGUUUAUUAUAUAAAACAACCAUUGCAGGCAGAUAAUCCAGACAGUAAUCAAAAGGUGUAAUCAAAGUCCAGGCAAAUGUCGUAAAGAAGGAAACAGCAAUCAAAGUUAAACAAAUCCAAAACAGUAAUCCACACUCGUAAAUCC